CUGACAUUUUUAAAGGUCUCAUGGCAUGACAGUAUCACUUUAUGAGUUAUUUUAACAUUAAUAUGCGUUCCCACAGCCUGCCUAUGGUCCCCCAGUGGCUAGGAAGGGUGAUAAGUGUAAACCGAGCCCUGGGUAUCCUGCUCUGCAUUUGAGAAAAUGAAAGCUCAGAUGGGCCAAAAUGGAAUCUCGCCCCUUAUGACCUCAUGAGGAGCAAGGUUACCUCCCCUUUCUCUGCUUUGCCCACCCAGAGAAUUUAGCCCACCCAUGA